rnacentral:rRNA from 1 species
UACGGAGGGGGCGAGCGUUAUUCGGAAUUAUUGGGCGUAAAGGGCGCGUAGGCGGCUGUACAAGUCAAAGGUGAAAUCCCUCGGCUCAACUGAGGAACUGCCUUUGAAACUGUACGGCUUGAGGCCGGGAGGGGGUAGCGGAAUUCCCAGUGUAGCGGUGAAAUGCGUAGAUAUUGGGAGGAACACCAGUGGCGAAGGCGGCGACCUGGUCCUUUUACUGACGCUGAGGCGCGAAAGCGUGGGGAGCAAACAGG